AUUGAACGCUGGCGGCAGGCUUAACACAUGCAAGUCGAACGAGUGGCGGACGGGUGAGUCAUGCUUGGGAAUCUCGCUUAUGGAGGGGGAUAACUACGGGAAACUGUAGCUAAUACCGCGUACCAUAGGAUGAGCCCAAGUGGGAGUAGGUAGUUGGUGAGGUAAUGGCUCACCAAGCCGACGAUCUCUAGCUGGUCUGAGAGGAUGACCAGCAACACUGGGACUGAGACACGGGCCAGACUCCUACGGGAGGAAGCAGUGGGGAAUAUUGCGCAAUGGGGGCAACCCUGACGCAGCCAUGCCGCGUGUAUGAAGAAGGCCUUAGGGUUGUAAAGUACUUUCAGCGGGGAGGCGUUACCCGCAGAAGAAGCACCGGCUAACUCCGUACCAGCAGCCGCGGUAAUUC
rnacentral:rRNA from 1 species